CCCUUAGAUGUUCUGGGCCGCACGCGCGCUACACUGACGAAGUCAGCGAGCAUCUCCUACGCCGAAAGGUGCGGGGAAUCUUGUGAAACUUUGUCGUGCUGGGGAUUGAUUUUUGAAAUUCUUGAUCAUCAACGAGGAAUUCCUAGUAAGCGCAAGUCAGCAGCUUGCGUUGAUUACGUCCCUGCCCUUUGUACACACCGCCCGUCGCUACUACCGAUUGAAUGGUUUAGUGAGAUUUUUGGACUGGAACUCUCUUGUUCAGCAAUGAACGAGAGGGACUCUGGGAAGCUAUUCUAACUGUAUCAUUUAGAGGAAGUAAAGGUCGUAACA
rnacentral:rRNA from 1 species